GGUUCAUGAUGACACAGGACCUUGUCUGAAAAUUAAUGAUUUCAAAAUUUGAGCUUAAAACGACAUUCUGAAAUC
rnacentral:snoRNA from 13 species